GAUGAACGCUGGCGGCGUGCCUAAUACAUGCAAGUCGAGCGAACAGACGGGGAGCUUGCUCCUUCGACGUUAGCGGCGGACGGGUGAGUAACACGUAGGUAACCUACCUAUAAGACUGGGAUAACUUCGGGAAACCGGAGCUAAUACCGGAUAAUAUUUCGAACCGCAUGGUACGAUAGUGAAAGAUGGCUUUGCUAUCACUUAUAGAUGGACCUGCGCCGUAUUAGCUAGUUGGUAAGGUAACGGCUUACCAAGGCAACGAUACGUAGCCGACCUGAGAGGGUGAUCGGCCACACUGGAACUGAGACACGGUCCAGACUCCUACGGGAGGCAGCAGUAGGGAAUCUUCCGCAAUGGGCGAAAGCCUGACGGAGCAACGCCGCGUGAGUGAUGAAGGUCUUCGGAUCGUAAAACUCUGUUAUUAGGGAAGAACAAACGUGUAAGUAACUGUGCACGUCUUGACGGUACCUAAUCAGAAAGCCACGGCUAACUACGUG
rnacentral:rRNA from 1 species